rnacentral:rRNA from 1 species
UACAGAGGGUGCGAGCGUUAAUCGGAAUUACUGGGCGUAAAGCGUGCGUAGACGGUUAUUUAAGUCGGAUGUGAAAGCCCCGGGCUCAACCUGGGAAUUGCAUUCGAGACUGAAUAGCUAGGGUGCGGUAGAGGGAAGCGGAAUUUCCGGUGUAGCGGUGAAAUGCGUAGAUAUCUGGAGGAACACCGGUGGCGAAGGCGGCAUCCUGGACCAACACUGACACUGAGGAGCGAAAGCGUGGGGAGCGAACAGG